UUAAAAAGCUCGUAGUUGGAUUUCUGCGGGGGCGGGGCGGCCGGUUGCUUAUAGCAACUCGAGCUAGCACUUCCCCUGCAUCCUGCCGCGAACCGUGCUACCAUUAGUUUGGUGGCGCCGGGGAUCGGCUCGUUUACUUUGAGAAAAAUAGAGUGUUCAAAGCAGGCCACACGCCUUGAAUAAGUUAGCAUGGAAUAAUGAUAAAGGACUUCGGUUCUAUUUUGUUGGUGUUCGGGACUGAAGUAAUGAUUGAUAGGGACAGUUGGGGCGGUCAGUAUUCCAAAGCGAGAGGUGAAAUUCUUAGACCUUCGGAAGACUAACAGCUGCGAAAGCGUUCCGCAAGGAUGUUCCCUUUGAUCAAGAACGAAAGUUGGGGGAUCGAAGACGAUCAGAUACCGUCGUAGUCUCAACUAUAAACUAUACCAGCUAGGGAUCGGCCGACGUUUACUUAUAUCGACUCGGUCGGCACCUUAUGAGAAAUCAAAGCAUCUGGGUUCCGGGGGGAGUAUGGUCGCAAGGCUGAAACUUAAAGGAAUUGACCGGAAGGGCACCACCAGCCGUGGAGCCUGCGGCCUUAAUUUGACUCAACACGGGAAACUACC
rnacentral:rRNA from 1 species